rnacentral:lncRNA from 1 species
AAUGCCAUAUUUUGAUUGGCUAAGACGAGGGUGUCAUUUUACUCUAUCACAUAGCUGAGAGGGUGACAAUUUUUUUGAAUGUUACCCUCUCGUCUAAACCAAUCAAAAAUCGACAAUUUAAAGGACAAUGGAUUGAAUUUACACCAAGUAGUUAAAUACAAUGCUUAAGUUUUACGUUUUGGAUCAAAUUUUAUUAUUUAACUGUCAAAAUAAAAAAAAACCAUCUUGUUGUUUAUUUCUAAUACUCGUAACGUUGUUAUGUACGUGACGUCAUUGAAAAUCCUUUUGAAAUAAAAUUAAUCUGUAAAAGACAAAAAUGGUAGGACGUUCAGUAUAAUAAAUUAAAUAACACAUAGCUGAGAGGGUGAUAGAGCAGAUUGGUACCCCUUGAAAAAG